GAUGAACGCUGACAGAAUGCUUAACACAUGCAAGUCUACUUGAACUUCGGUUUGGGUGGCGGACGGGUGAGUAACGCGUAAAGAACUUGCCUCACAGUUAGGGACAACAUUUGGAAACGAAUGCUAAUACCUGAUAUUAUGAUUUUAGGGCAUCCUAGGAUUAUGAAAGCUAUAUGUGCUGUGAGAGAGCUUUGCGUCCCAUUAGCUAGUUGGAGAGGUAACGGCUCACCAAGGCGAUGAUGGGUAGCCGGCCUGAGAGGGUGAACGGCCACAAGGGGACUGAGACACGGCCCUAACUCCUACGGGAGGCAGAAGUGGGUAAUAUGGGACAUGGGAUCAAAAGUCUGAUCCAGCAAUUCUGUGUGAACGAUGAAGUUUUUCGGAAUGUAAAGUGUUUUCAGUUGGGAAGAAAAAAAUGACGGUACCAACAGAAGAAGAGACGGCUAAAUACGUG
rnacentral:rRNA from 1 species